rnacentral:rRNA from 1 species
GGGGGGCGGGCUAACCAUGCAAGUCGAGCGGUAGAGAGAAGCUUGCUUCUCUUGAGAGCGGCGGACGGGUGAGUAAUGCCUAGGAAUCUGCCUGGUAGUGGGGGAUAACGUUCGGAAACGAACGCUAAUACCGCAUACGUCCUACGGGAGAAAGCAGGGGACCUUCGGGCCUUGCGCUAUCAGAUGAGCCUAGGUCGGAUUAGCUAGUUGGUGAGGUAAUGGCUCACCAAGGCGACGAUCCGUAACUGGUCUGAGAGGAUGAUCAGUCACACUGGAACUGAGACACGGUCCAGACUCCUACGGGAGGCAGCAGUGGGGAAUAUUGGACAAUGGGCGAAAGCCUGAUCCAGCCAUGCCGCGUGUGUGAAGAAGGUCUUCGGAUUGUAAAGCACUUUAAGUUGGGAGGAAGGGCAGUUACCUAAUACGUGAUUGUUUUGACGUUACCGACAGAAUAAGCACCGGCUAACUCUGUGCCAGCAGCCGCGGUAAUACAGAGGGUGCAAGCGUUAAUCGGAAUUACUGGGCGUAAAGCGCGCGUAGGUGGUUUGUUAAGUUGGAUGUGAAAUCCCCGGGCUCAACCUGGGAACUGCAUUCAAAACUGACUGACUAGAGUAUGGUAGAGGGUGGUGGAAUUUCCUGUGUAGCGGUGAAAUGCGUAGAUAUAGGAAGGAACACCAGUGGCGAAGGCGACCACCUGGACUAAUACUGACACUGAGGUGCGAAAGCGUGGGGAGCAAACAGGAUUAGAUACCCUGGUAGUCCACGCCGUAAACGAUGUCAACUAGCCGUUGGAAGCCUUGAGCUUUUAUUGCCGCACCUAACGCAUUAAGUUGACCGCCUGGGGAGUACGGCCGCAAGGUUAAUACUCAAAUGAAUUGACGGGGGCCCGCACAAGCGGUGGAGCAGGUGGUUUAAUUCGAAGCAACGCGAAGAACCUUACCAGGCCUUGACAUCCAAUGAACUUUCUAGAGAUAGAUUGGUGCCUUCGGGAACAUUGAG